AAUUUCCUUCUCUUAAUAAUUUCCUUUACCUUUCUUUGCUUUUGUGUCAUUAUAUCAUUAAUUCAUUGUCUUUCUCUUUAAGUGGAAAUGUCAAAUGUUGGAUCCAGUAAUGCAGAUACUAGUCAAGAGGAAUUCGGCGGCGCCGUGUAUGCUCAUUUAAACAUGGAAGCAUUGCAAAUUGGUGCUGGAAAAAGAAAUAAAGAGAAACCUUCAAGCGAUGAUAACCAGGUUCUUUAUGCUGCUGUUAAACCUACUUCUGAACAAGCAAUAUAUUCAACUGUUCAAUAGCAUCUUAGAUAUGGGAUUUCUUCAGAAACAAAAUCAAAGAGGAAGACUGAAGAUUCUAUGAUGGAGUGUUGCGUAUUGGAUAAAUAUAAAUAUCCCCAACUCAUAUGUUUCUCACACCUUCGAGGGAAGGACAAGGAUGCAAAAAAAAUUUUUCUUUUCAAAGGUGGAAUUGACCAAUAUAUGUCUCUUUUAACCUAUGCACAGUAAAAAUGGAUACAAGUAUCCCCAAUUCAUGGCUUCCCAACACCUUCGAGAAAAACAAAA